AUACGUAGGUGGCAAGCGUUGUCCGGAUUUACUGGGCGUAAAGGGUGCGUAGGCGGAUGUUUAAGUGAGAUGUGAAAUCCCCGGGCUUAACCUGGGGGCUGCAUUUCAAACUGGAUAUCUAGAGUGCAGGAGAGGAGAAUGGAAUUCCUAGUGUAGCGGUGAAAUGCGUAGAGAUUAGGAAGAACACCAGUGGCGAAGGCGAUUCUCUGGACUGUAACUGACGCUGAGGCACGAAAGCGUGGGUAGCAAACAGGAUUAGAUACCCUGGUAGUCCACGCCGUAAACGAUGAGUACUAGGUGUAGGAGGUAUCGAUCCCUUCUGUGCCGCAGUUAACACAAUAAGUAUCCCGCCUGGGGAGUACGGCCGCAAGGCUGAA
rnacentral:rRNA from 1 species